AGAGCGUAGGGAGAAUGCCUUGGCAUUAGGAGCCGAUGAAGGACGUGAUAAGCUGCGAUAAGCUGCGGGGAUCAGCAAGUAUGAAUUGAUCCGCAGAUUUCCGAAUGGAGCAAUCCGUAUGUGUAUGCACAUACAUCAUAUACUGAAUCAAAUAGGUAUAUGAGGGGAACCGCCUGAACUGAAACAUCUAAGUAGGGCGAGGAAGAGAAAUCAACCGAGAUUCUGUGAGUAGUGGCGAGCGAAAGCGGAAGAGGCUAAACCAUAGGUAGCAAUACUUAUGGGGUUUCGGACAGCAUUUAGUAUUGAUAAUUUCUAGUUGAAACGUGUGGGAAAACGUACCGAAGAGUGUGAGAGUCACGUAAGCGAAAGAGAAAGUCAGCGAGCUGUAUCCAAAGUACCGCGGGACACGUGAAACCCCGUGGGAAGAUGGGGGGACCAUCCUCCAAGCCUAAAUACUACCUAAUGACCGAUAGCGAAUAGUACUGUGAAGGAACGGUGAAAAGAACCCCGGGAGGGGAGUGAAAAAGAACCUGAAACCCUAUGCUUACAAGCACCGAGAGCACGUCAAAGUGUGAUCGGGUACCUUUUGUAGAAUGGUCCGGCGAGUUAUUGUAUGCGGCAAGGUUAAGUGCUUAAGGCACGGAGCCGAAGCGAGAGCAAGUCUGAAUAGGGCGAGUAAGUCGUAUGCAAUAGACCCGAAACCGAGUGACCUAUCCAUGUCCAGGCUGAAGUGGAGGUAAAACUCCAUGGAGGGCCGAACACACGUCCGUUGAAAAGGCCGGUGAUGAGGUGUGGAUAGCGGAGAAAUUCCAAUCGAACUCGGAUAUAGCUGGUUCUCUCCGAAAUAGCUUUAGGGCUAGCCUCGUGAAAGAUUACUGGAGGUAAAGCACUGAAUGGGCUAGGGGUCGAAAGAUUACUGAACCCUAUCAAACUAAGAAUGCCAGAUAAUUGAUUCACGGGAGUCAGACAAUGUGAGAUAAGUCUCAUUGUCAAAAGGGAAACAGCCCAGACCCACAGCUAAGGUCCCUAAACAUUGUUAAGUGGAAAAGGAUGUGGGGUUGCAUAAACAACCAGGAUGUUGGCUUAGAAGCAGCCACUCAUUAAAAGAGUGCGUAAUAGCUCACUGGUCGAGUGACCCUGCGCCGAAAAUUCAACGGGGCUAAACAAUGUACCGAAGCUUGGGAUUCUAAAGUAAUUUAGAGUGGUAGGAGAGCGUCGAAUAAGGGGUGAAGUCAGAGCGGAAGCGCUGGUGGACUUUAUUCGAGUGAGAAUGCCGGAAUGAGUAGCGAGAAUUAUGUGAGAAUCAUAAUGGCCGAAAAUCUAAGGUUUCCUGAGGAAGGUUCGUCCGCUCAGGGUAAGCCGGGGGCUAAGGCGAGGCGGAGACGCGUAGCCGAUGCACAUACGGUUGAAAUUCCGUAGCCACCGAAAGAUUUAAGUACAGGGACGCUUUAGAAGUGAUGUUGCCGGGCGAUGGUUGACCCGGUCGUAAGGGAUCGAAAAUGAGUAGAGAAGUCAUCAUGGAAAGAGACAAGAAAAGCUGUAUGGAUAUCUUAGGUGCCCGUACCGCAAACCGACACAGGUAGAUAGGAAGAAGAUUCUAAGGCCAACGGGAGAAGGGUUGUUAAGGAACUCGGCAAGUUGACCCCGUAACUUAGGGAUAAGGGGUGCUCAAGUGAUUGAGCCGCAGAGAAUAGGCCCAGGCGACUGUUUAGCAAAAACACAGGUCUCUGCUAAAUCGAAAGAUGACGUAUAGGGGCUGACACCUGCCCGGUGCCGGAAGGUUAAGAGGAGAUGUGAGAGCAUUGAAUUGAAGCCCCGGUAAACGGCGGCCGUAACUAUAACGGUCCUAAGGUAGCGAAAUUCCUUGUCAGGUAAGUUCUGACCCGCACGAAUGGCGUAAUGAUUUGGGCACUGUCUCGACAGCCCGCCCGGCGAAAUUGUAGUACUGGUGAAGAUGCCAGUUACCCGCAACUAGACGGAAAGACCCCAUGGAGCUUUACUGCAGCUUAAUACUGGAAAUCGGUAAUUCAUGUACAGGAUAGGUGGGAGACGGAGAAGUACGGUCGUCAGGUCGUAUGGAGUCGCCCUUGGGAUACCACUCUUGGAUUGCUGGUUUUCUAACCUGCGGCCGUGAAUCCGGUCGGGGGACACUGUUAGGCGGGCAGUUUGACUGGGGCGGUCGCCUCCAAAAAGGUAACGGAGGCGCUCAAAGGUUCGUUCAGCACGGACGGAAAUCGUGCAUUGA
rnacentral:rRNA from 1 species